UAAUGCAUGAGAAGCUGCCAUUGGGAGGGGGACAACAGUUGGAAACGGCUGCUAAUACCCCGUAUGCCGAAAGGUAAAAGGGAGCAAUCCGCCUGAUGAGGUGCUCAUGUCCUAUCAGCUGGUUGGUGGGGUAACGGCCUACCAAGGCGACGACGGGUAGCCGGCCUGAGAGGGUGAACGGCCACACUGGAACUGAGAUACGGUCCAGACUCCUACGGGAGGCAGCAGUGGGGAAUAUUGGGCAAUGGGGGAAACCCUGACCCAGCGACGCCGCGUGAGGGAAGACGGCCUUCGGGUUGUAAACCUCUUUUGUAUGGGAAGAAGGAUGUGACGGUACCAUACGAAUAAGUCCCGGCUAACUACGUGCCAGCAGCCGCGGUAAUACGUAGGGGACGAGCGUUGUCCGGAAUUACUGGGCGUAAAGGGCGCGCAGGCGGUUUGUCAAGUCAGCUGUUAAAAAUGGGGGCUUAACCCUCAUAUGCUGUUGAAACUGGCAGACUGGAGUGCUGUAGAGGCAAGUGGAAUUCCCAGUGUAGCGGUGAAAUGCGUAGAUAUUGGGAAGAACACCGGUGGCGAAGGCGACUUGCUGGGCAGCAACUGACGCUGAGGCGCGAAAGCCAGGGGAGCAAACGGGAUUAGAUACCCCGGUAGUCCUGGCCGUAAACGAUGAAUGCUAGGUGUGGGUGUAGAGAUACAUCCGUGCCGGAGCUAACGCGAUAAGCAUUCCGCCUGGGGAGUACGGUCGCAAGAUUGAAACUCAAAGGAAUUGACGGGGGCCCGCACAAGCGGUGGAGCAC
rnacentral:rRNA from 1 species